UUCUUGAUUUAUAUAUAAGAAGUAAUUCCUGCCCAGUGACAUAGUUCAACGGCCGCGGUAUCCUAACCGUGCAAAGGUAGCAUAAUCACUUGCCCAUUAAUUGUGGGCUAGAAUGAAUGGACUAACGAAAUAAAAACUGUCUCUAUAAGCAUAAUAAAAAUUAAUCUCUAACUGAAGACUGUUAGAUAUCGUCGAAGGACAAGAAGACCCUAUAGAGCUUUAUUUUAACAAAAAAUUUCUUUUUGAAAAAUUCGGUUGGGGCGACCAGGGAAUAAUAAUCAUCCCUUAUUAUAAGAUAAAUUAAUCUAUACACUGACCCUUAAUAAAGAUCACUAGAAUAAGCUACCUUAGGGAUAACAGGCUAAUCCUACUAAAGAGUCCUUAUCAAUAGUGGGGGUUGGCACCUCGAUGUUGGCUUAGGGAAUCUAUAUGGCGCAAAAGUCAUAUAAAGAUGGUUUGUUCAACCAAUAAUACCCUACAUGAGCUGAGUUCAGACCGGCGUAAGCCAGGUUAGCUUCUAUCCUCGAUAACUUAAUCUAUUUAUAGUACGAAAGGACCUAAAUAAGAGUAAUAAUUAUAAAUACAUGACUAUAUAUAAUAUAUAUUAAAUAAAGUAACACAAAAACUAUG
rnacentral:rRNA from 1 species